rnacentral:rRNA from 1 species
AACGCGAAGAACCUUACCUGGGUUUGACAUGGAUCGGGAGUGCUCAGAGAUGGGUGUGCCUCUUUUGGGGUCGGUUCACAGGUGGUGCAUGGCUGUCGUCAGCUCGUGUCGUGAGAUGGUGGGUUAAGUCCCGCAACGAGCGCAACCCUUGUUCACUGUUGCCAGCACGUUAUGGUGGGGACUCAGUGGAGACCGCCGGGGUCAACUCGGAGGAAGGUGGGGAUGACGUCAAGUCAUCAUGCCCCUUAUGUCCAGGGCUUCACGCAUGCUACAAUGGCUGGUACAGAGAGUGGCGAGCCUGUGAGGGUGAGCGAAUCUCGGAAAGCCGGUCUCAGUUCGGAUUGGGGUCUGCAACUCGACCUCAUGAAGUCGGAGUCGCUAGUAAUCGCAGAUCAGCAACGCU